GCCUACUGAGAAUGUUAAAGGCAGGCAAAGACUGUAAAGGGUCACAGUUCUGGAGUGAUUGGAGCCACCUGUGCAGACAUUGGUAGACCAUCAGCUUCUAUUUGCUGGGUGAGAAGGAGAGUCCCAAAGACCUGCCUGAAAUGGGGGUGAGCUGUACAGCAAGAACCAGAGGAGGAGGUAGACUGAAGCUUGGAAUAGCCCCAUCUCCAUGGAGAAUUCUGGUGAAAAUGCUACAGCUGACCAGUAACUUUGAAGGGGGAAUACGGUGGCAACAAAAAGCAACAGAGACACAUGCUUGUGCCCCGAGGGAGAAUGGCCUGUGUAAACAGGAAGACGCUGCGUUCUGAAACGACAUCCAAAAACGGCUGCUAUGAAAGUGGGACAAUCCAGAGGAGGAUGCCAGCAGCGGCAGGUCUUUAGCAGAUAGCUGCGACCCAGUUUCCUGCACUUACGGCUUCACUAUAUUGGCGUUCUGGUUUCCCGCCCCUCUGCUGCAGCAGGAGAAGAUCCCACACCUUUUGGCAUUGGA